rnacentral:misc_RNA from 1 species
UUUCCGUAGGUGAACCUGCGGAAGGAUCAUUAUAAAUGAAAAACGAAUAACUUCAGGGAAGAAGGGAACCUGCACGGUGACCUCCCCUGUCGGGCCACCCAAUACCUUCAAAAUGCCGCCGUCCUAGCGGUGGCAGACGAAAAAAAACAAGAAAAACAAAAUAGAAACAGGCACGGUGGCCCGUUCACCUUCACACAACCCUCCGAGUACCGCUUCCAUGUUGCUUCCCCGCAAAUCCACCUCUUUGGUGAGCGCGGGGGAGGUCCGCAUCAAAUUCACCUGAAUGUCACAGCAGUCAGACAGCCAUUCAUGGAAACAAUAAAACUUUCAACAACGGAUCUCUUGGUUCCC